rnacentral:rRNA from 1 species
UACGUAGGGACCGAGCGUUGUCCGGAAUCAUUGGGCGUAAAGAGCGUGUAGGCGGCCACUUAAGUCCUGCGUGAAAUCUUGCGGCUCAACCGCAAGCGGUCGUGGGAAACUGGGUGGCUAGAGUGCGGGAGAGGAGAGUGGAAUUCCUGGUGUAGCGGUGGAAUGCGCAGAUAUCAGGAACAACACCCGUGGCGAAGGCGGCUCUCUGGAACGCAACUGACGCUGAGACGCGAAAGCGUGGGGAGCAAACAGG